CACUCCUACGGGAGGCAGCAGUAGGGAAUCUUCGGCAAUGGGGGCAACCCUGACCGAGCAACGCCGCGUGAGUGAAGAAGGUUUUCGGAUCGUAAAGCUCUGUUGUAAGUCAAGAACGAGUGUGAGAGUGGAAAGUUCACACUGUGACGGUAGCUUACCAGAAAGGGACGGCUAACUACGUGCCAGCAGCCGCGGUAAUACGUAGGUCCCGAGCGUUGUCCGGAUUUAUUGGGCGUAAAGCGAGCGCAGGCGGUUUGAUAAGUCUGAAGUUAAAGGCUGUGGCUCAACCAUAGUUCGCUUUGGAAACUGUCAAACUUGAGUGCAGAAGGGGAGAGUGGAAUUCCAUGUGUAGCGGUGAAAUGCGUAGAUAUAUGGAGGAACACCGGUGGCGAAAGCGGCUCUCUGGUCUGUAACUGACGCUGAGGCUCGAAAGCGUGGGGAGCGAACAGGAUUAGAAACCCCUGUAGUCCCAUGAU
rnacentral:rRNA from 1 species